UGAACAGGAGCGCUCAUAUGAACUCCGCUGAGUUUCUCGCUUAAUUUGUCCAAUGUAUUCAUGACGUAAUCUGGGGUGUCGUUACGGCGGGUCUUGAUUUUAUUUAAGUCAUCUGUGUUCCACAAGCUGCAGCCUGAAGAAGAAAAAAACAACAUUUUUCAGCGCAAGUAGUAGCUAUAAAGUCAUACCUAUAUCAAUCUGUUCCCUACGUGCGUCGUAGAGAGCUCCCUCUCGGAAGUCUCUUUGAAGUGCGGGAAUUUCCAAAAUUUGGGUACCGACAUCCGUGAUGGACAUUUUUUAAUUGCAAUUUAUUCCUUUUAGGGAUUGCGCAACGUAUUUCCAGGUAUUUCAUUCAAUCCCGAUUUUAGUCUUACCUUGACAAAUUCGUUAAACGAGCUGCAGAAAAGUUACACUUUCACACCGGUGUACGGUAUCCGAGAAGCAAGCGAGUGCGACUGAGUAAUGGCGAAUGUGAUGCUUCGUUUUCAAGUUAUCGUUGCUUAAAAGA